rnacentral:rRNA from 1 species
UACGAAGGGGGCAAGCGUUGUCCGGAUUUAUUGGGCGUAAAGAGCGUGUAGGCGGUUUGGUAGGUCCGCUGUGAAAACUCGAGGCUCAACCUCGAGACGCCGGUGGAAACCAUCAGACUAGAGUCCGGAAGAGGAGAGUGGAAUUCCUGUUGUAGCGGUGAAAUGCGCAGAUAUCAGGAGGAACACCAAUAGCGAAGGCAGCUCGCUGGGACGUUACUGACGCUGAGGCGCGAAAGUGUGGGGAGCGAACAGG